UCUUGGGCUGACGCACGGGCUCUCCUCCCCCCGCGCAGCGCCCCCCGAGCUCCAGAUCGGGAGGGGAGCUCCCGAUCCAGAGCCCCUCGCCGCCCCGCUGCCUUCGCGCUCGGCCUCGCCACCGGCCGCCGCGCUGUCGUCGACCAUAGCCGGACCUCCACGCCUCGCGCCCCCUCUUAUGAUUGUCCCUCUUCUCCGUUUCCUUCCCCUCUGUUUCUCUCCCUUACACAAGGAUUGCCUCUCCCCUUCUACAGGAGCAGCCAUGGCCACCAAUGACCGCGCCUCACCCGGAUCGAGUCAGAAUCGACCUCCUGCAGCCGUAUCCGCCCCAUCCUGACCUCGCCGACCUUCCUCCCGGUCUUCGUCGCGAUCCAUGGCCGGUCUCGAAGACCAGCGCCUCCCUCCGAAUUUUAGUAAGUUUUGUAUGUCCGUCCCACAAUCCCAUUAUAUCUAGCAGCAACCGCCGCCGCCAGCAGCAGCAGGCGCGGCUGGAGAUCCCCUCGUGGGCCGGCGCCGGCCAAUGAAGGCCCCGGCGCUGGAGGUGCUGCCGGCCGAGAAGCCCGUGCGCGAUAACGAUAAGCGCGAGGGCGUCGCCAACUUGGACACCAUGCUCGCCUUCCCUGAGGACGACGAGCACGACAAGGCAGCGGUGGAGGACGAGGCCAAGGCCAGCGCGCAGGACAAGGGACAGGGAAGACCACCUUCAUGCACCGUCUGGUGUGUCAUAUGCAAGCAUCGGCGAAUAUGAGGCGUUAUGUGCUCAACCUUGACCCUGCGGUGGUGACACUGCCAUUUGGAGCCAACAUUGAUAUCCGUGAUACUGUGCGUUACAAGGAGGUGAUGAAAGAGUACGGACUUAGGUCCCAAUGUUGGCAUUCUUACCUCACUCAACCUGUUCUCAACCAAGUUUGAUGAGGUUAUAUCUGUUAUUGAAAAGCUAGCAGACCAACUGGAUUAUGUGCUGAUGGACACCCCAGGGUAGAUUGAAAUCUUUACUUGGUCGGCUUCAGGAGCUAGCUAUCAUAGCCGAAACUUUUGCUCGACAUUUCCAAAGGUUGUAACAUAUGUGGUGGACACCCCCAGGUCGACAAACCCUGUUACCUUUAUGAGCAACAUGGUGUAAGCGUGCAGUAUCCUCUACAAGACCCAUUUGCCUUACGUGCCAGAUGAAUAAACAAAGCACCAUUAUUUUGCUGGUAGAGAAAACAAAGCGCCAUGAUAGGCAGCUCCAUGGUGUUGAUAUGAUACAUCAGAAAAUAAUACAGUGUGCUGGCAUCCCAAAAUUUCGCUCCAGAUGACUCAUUUAUUCAACUGAAAAAACACUCACUCUAAACAACAUCGCCAUGAAAUUAUUUGAUCUGGACCGUGUCGUGUCGGCUCUGAUUCAGUUGCAAUUGAGUUUUGUGUUGUUAUCAAGGAAGAAUAUUGUUCUAACUUACGGUGACCAGGUUAGCUAAAUUUUGAUCAAUGACUAGCUAUUUAUGCUAACUGCCUGCUUACUUUGGGGAGUGUGGAUGACUGUCAUUUUCUAUGUGCUUACUCUGCUUGUUAUCUGUAUGUAUAAUGUUCUUUGCACGAGUAUGAUUUUCUAUGUUGUGAUAAUAAGAGAGAAACUGUAGGUGCCUUGCACGAUGGUUGGUCUACAUUGAUGGAGAUGAUUGUUUAAUCAGGGUGUUUCCACCCUUGGCCUUCAGUACAACUCAGACAUGAGAUAUAGUUUUAACCCUCCACCUAACAUAGAUAUUUCGUGUGUUUUCUGAAUAAUAAAAGUAUCAAGCAUUUGGUUUACUGGUUGUAAUUGCUGUUUCAGGUUGAUGUUUCACUGGACCCGGUGAACGAGUUGAGCAGAGUAAUAUCCGAGCGAAAAUUUUGACGGGGGGGUGUCUUGGUUGUGCUCUCGUCUUGGUUGUGCUCUCAGUUAUUUUCCACACAUAAAACUUGAAGUGUAGUUGUUCGCAUAUUCCCCAUUUUCUUAUUUCCGCUUGAGAAAAUCAAACAAUGCCUACAAAUACAUAGAGUUUUGCAUCUCAUAGUUAGUCCAUCUCAUGCACCCAUGCUUCUGUUACACGGAGAACCACUUUUAUCAGUUUAUUCAGCGUUUUAAUUAGCAUAUGUAUCACUGUGGAUACCGGAUACUCGAAUAUGCUUUCGGCCAGGUUAUUUUGCGAGGGUUGUGUGCACCGAACCCCAUUUCUCUGGACCAACGUGUUCUUCUGGCCCUUUUCCAGCAACUGACAUGCGACAUAGCCAACUACAUAUCCCUGAAGCUUCAAUGGAUACAAAAGGUUUACAGAAUCUUCACACGUAGGAUUUUGUUUAUAUCUCCAACUCUUUAAUGUUCGAUUACCUGGUACUCCAUGAUUGUGCAGUUCUCUUAAAUAUUUUGGACCACUAAGCAUUUUGGAAACUGUAGUGGUGGUAUAUGCACAAUAUAUCUAACAACAUAAGCAUGAAAAAUUGAAAAAAAAGUAUAAUUUCAGGUAAUUUGUGUAUCGUACUUAACCACAUGUGCUGCUUUGGGUUGUCUUUUUAGUUGAUAAAAAAAUUCAAACAAUUUUUGUAAUAAUUCCGACAAUUGCACAAGCCAGUCAUUCCGAGGUUCAGUAUAUUUUUAGCAGAAUAAUGUACUUGACUAGAUGCUACUAGCGUAAAUCAUUUAAGUUUAUUGAUCUUCUAGAUGAGCUUUUGUGAAACCAUGUAUCUGUUUGUAGAAAAAAUAGUCCAACAUGAAAAUAAUAUUUUCAAGUAUGUCGCAUUUGUUUUAUUUUCCUGCAAAUUGAUAUCAAGGUGAAGGACAGAUACAUCACUAUGGAUUAUCUACAUAUAUCAGCAGCACUUGCUUUUCAAAUUGGCGAAACAUGGCUUGCCUAUUUCAUUGUCAAUUACUCAACAUUUCAAAAUGCUUGAAGGUUUUAGUAUACUCAGUGCCCUUUUAUAGAGUUGCAAUGAAAAUCCUGUUAGAUGUUAAUGUUCUUUAGGAAUUGUGCAUUGAAAUAUACUCCCUUCGUUCCCAAAUAUAAGUCUUUCGGGAGAUUGCAACGAGUGACUACAUACGGAACAAAAUGAGUGAAUCUAUACUCUAAAAUAUGUCUACAUACAUCCUUAUGUUGUAAUCCAUUUGAAAACCAUUGACUGCUUAUCUGUCCUUCUAUAGCUUCUACUUGAAGAAAUGCUCCAAGAAUAAGGCCACCAUCAAUAUAUUUGUUCAUUUACGGGCAAAAGUGUCUGCACGUGAAUUAUCACUUUUUAUUUGUCGAGAAGUUUCUUACCUUUGUGUUGGUCAAUAAUUUUUAUGUAGAUUCUGAUAUUAUAUUUUUAGCUAAGAUGCAUUAGAUCAUUGUAGUAUAGUCGAAGGGGAUGUUAUAGAUGAUCAUUCGUGUACUGUUUGUAAAGAACAUAUCUCCAAUUGUAUUAUUGAUAAAUGAAGGAAAUUUUUGGCAUUUGCUCCAUAGCGAAGCACUAAAGAGGCAUGUGGGGACACGUGCAUGACUCACCCCCCACUCCCCCCCUCCAUUAAACAAGCCCACAACAUUACAAGUCAAAAGCGAGCUGGAGUAUUGUGGCAGUAUAUGGAUUUGAUGCAGGAAUAGAUCGGUGUAUAGACUAGGUGCAGGAGUAGCUCAGAGAGGUUGACCCUCAUAUCCAGCUUGACAAGAUUAAUUAUUUUAAGUUUGAAACAUUCCCCUGAGCAGUUUAAUGACAAGUGUGUCAUGCGGUGGUUGACCUCAUCACCUUGGAAUCGAUCAUGUUCCAACGUGCUUUGAUCAGGUAAAUAACACAACCAUCGUUGUCAAGGGCUGAAUGAAGGAUAAGUGGCAACAUGGGCAGGCUAUUGUGUUGACGUAGAUGUCAUGGACGAAAGGAUCAUGUAGGCAUGCUUUAUUGGGUUCGAGGGAGUACUUUUUUCUCCCGUUGCAACGCACGGGCAUUUUUGCUAGUAAUAAUAAAGCACGGAUUGGGUCUCCGGGUUCACCGUCGCGACGUUUUUCAGAAAAAUCCUACUGUUUUGGGUAUUCAACGCGCAAUACUCGGAAUAAGUUAACCCGGACCAGUACAACCGAGAAAAAAGAAAGAAAAUCAGCCCUCGCACAACCCUGCCUCCCAAUCCCCGUCUCCACCUCCUGCCUCGCGCGCCGCCGUGCGCCGCCACCGCCCACCACGCCGGCACGUUUACCCCUGCACGACCGGCUACACGCCGACGACGCUCGAGCUUGCAGGGGCUGGGGGCAGAUCCGGAGGCGAGGGUCGGAGGUGACGACGAGGAAGGCCUGAGCACAGGCGGAUCCAUGGCAUCCGCGGCUCCUAGGCACAAAGGGGACGGUGAGGCGGGGGAGAGAAGAAGGAAAAAAGGAGGGGUUGUGCGGCGACCUAGCGAGGAGCUCGCCGGAGCUGGGCGAAGGCGGACUGGCGCGGGAGACGGAGGGGUCCGGCGCGGCGGCGCGAAGUCCUUGCAGGUGGAGGCAGGCGUCGAAGCAGAGGACGAGAGGAUCCCCGGCCUAAUUCUGGCGUGCACUCAGCUUCCCCGAUCCAUCCCCUCCUACCCAUCCGGCCCUUCCUCGAUGGCCCGCAUGCGACGAACCCCUACGCGGGGUAAGAAGGGGGAUCACGCGAGGUGGAGCACUCCAGCCCCCUCCUAGCCCUACCACGGUGAGGCCUCCUUUCCCUCUCUCCCUGCCUGAGCCAUAAGCUGGCGGCGCUGAGGUCGAUCUGCUCAUGCACACACGGUUGCUGUGACAUGGUGACAGCCACGCCCCACUUUUUCUUCCAGUUCCUUGUUUUUGUGGUGGAUGCAUCCAUGAUUAUUUGUUUCAACUAUUGAUUUUCAGUUUAGUAAAUCAAACCCAUUCCGAUGCUGCUCUUUUACUUGUACAAAUAAACUAUUGUUCGCUAAACUGAGCAGCUAGCUACUGGUGUCUCAAAGAUUAAGGGCAGGUUGGUACUUAUGGUCAGGCCUGCCUCAAGUAGAGGAAGAAGAGGAGGCCUGAAAGAGAGAGGCCGCAAGGUAGAAGCCUUUUGAUUAGGAGGCAGUCCAGCAAGUUGGACGAACUGCUGAUAAAGAGAUAAUUCUAUUCUAAAUUUUUGUCUGAUAAGCAGGAUUGGAUCACGGAUGUAUGUUGGCUAUGUCUCUCACGGUGUGUGGAACCAGUUAUUGGUUAGUUUCAUCUUGUUUGUUGACAUUGAUGGUGUUGUCCAUUGGUUUAACAGAAAUGUUUUGAAGCUAAAGAUGAAGAGGAACUCGUGGAAGAGGAAAAGAAAUGACAUGGUAGAAAUUCAUUCACACAUAUCAGGGUCAUAGUGAGAGGAUUGAUCUGCUUGAUUCGCUCCUGAUGGUCGGUGGAUUGUUUCUGGUAGGGCUAAGAGUUCUGUGAAGGUAAGAUUUUGAUCCAACCUAUUAAGUAGCACCACACAAAUUACAGGAGAAUUUGUUGUUUGGUCCAACCUAUAAAGGUGCCAUAUAUGCUCAGUUGCUCACAACAAUGCUAAUAUUAACAAGGUGAAUAAACUCAUGCUCUAGCGGAAGAUAUCCUUUAUAUUUUUGGGUUCACUGAUUGUUGAUUUGACAGGUGGAAAGCUCUUGCAUGACUUCAGCUUCCUGAAGGUCCGCUUAAACUGUUCAGGUUUUCUUCCCCAUGAGUUUUUACUAGCCACAUGUCAGAUGGUGAUAGUAUGUUAUACAACCUGUACAAAAACAUAAGAUGUGUUCCCAGAUAACAUCUUUCCUCCAAAAUAAUCUAUAUAUCAUCUAGACUUGGUUAGUUGUAACUUUUGCUUUCUGUUCUUUCCACAAGCGUCUGUAGGUUCAAAUGAUAAUUGUUAAAUUUGGUACCUUAAGACUUUUUUUAGGGUGACCUUAAGACUUUUUAGUUGAUUGCAUCCUCUAGACCAGGAGGUAUAAUAGCAUCUCCUAAUUGUCUAAUUGAUGAUUCAGAAAGCUCUGGCUCUACUCAUGUAUAUCAAUUUAUAUUCAGAUUGUGAAGUACUCCUUCUAUAAAGAAAUAUAAGAGCGUUUAGUUCUAUAAAACAUAUUUAUAUGCAGUUAUCCAACAAAUUUAUGUCCUAAAAUCUUACAACUUCUCUUAAGCUGUAUUUGAUCAUAACCUUGGCUUAAAUGCAAUUUAAUUUCAACCUCAAAUUUGGUGAUUUUUUGAAUGGGCACAACUGUGUCGGUAGAGGUUGACAGUUAUGAAUUUUGUGAUAAUCUUCGGUUAUGCUGUUAUAUAUAGCACUUUCCUGGUUAUAUGGUUCACAUUCUCUGAGCCAAUUCACAAUGACCAUUCCAGAUUUGGGCCUUGCGUUUUAAAAUUAUUUUGUAACAUUUUGGUUGAUCUUUGAUGCUGCUCCUUAAUUUUUUUACAUUGACUGGUGUAGAACUAAAUGAGUGUUUGCCAUUCAAGGGAAGCCCCAAGCUUUAAAACCGUAUAUGAAUGUUGUUAGCUUGGUCCUUCACAAAUAAGUCCCUUGUUGUGUGUCAUCUGUCAUUGCGUAUAUCAUCUGGUCUUUCUAUUUUUCAUUGAUUUUUCUUCUCCUGGUGCACUGAAUCUGCAAGGGCGUGUAGACGGCAGGAUGAGCAGCAGCAUACCGGUGGUAAGACAGGGCGUGUUGGCGUACGCGAAGCAGCCAUGCAUGAACCUUGGCGGCGGAUGUUUGCUGGCCGUAGUGGCAGCAUCAAUUCAAGCUGGAAGGCGGGAAGCUGGCGUAGCAGGAACAACUGGUCGUCCAUUAGGCAUCAACCCAACUCCAUUGUACUCCCUUUUCUUUCCAUAACCAAUUCCUUGGAGCAGACAUGUGGGUACAGUUACGUAGCCUGAAGAUUGUUUGCUUUUUUUGGUUAGUUCAGAUUUAGAUUUCUUAGUUUUUGACUAUUUGAUCAAUCGAUCCAUGUAGAUCACAUUGACAUGGUUUGUCGAAUGUACCUUUCAGCAUUUACCCUGAUUAGUUAAAUGCCUAGCUGGUGAUAAGAGGAAGAGGAUGAUCAGGAAAGCAUGGCGUUGAGCGAAUCAGUACAGGAAGAAAGCCCCUCCAGAAAAAAAUAGUAGAGGAAGAAAGAGAGGAGCAGCAGUCAAGAUUGGGCUUGGUGGCCUCAACGCCUAUGACCUCCUCUAUGCCAAGCCUCGCAUCACCUGGUUAUUAUGUUAUCUGCUUCCAUGGAUUUACUGGCGUAUAGAAAUAUGAUUAUCUGAUGUAUGACUUAGGUGAGUUUCCUCUUUAUGUAACAAGGCUCUCUUUUAAAGUUGUUCGCUGUCCUCAUUCCUCGUGAUCUCUGAAUCAGUAUUUAGUUGAUAACUGUGGCAACAAAGGAUCGUUUGCAAACAAGGUUCUCACCCCUUAUAUUUAUUUUGGCAUGGAAAAGCACUGUGAUUAAAUC